GGGCGUAAGCGCGCGCAGGCGGUUUCUUAAGUCUGAUGUGAAAGCCCACGGCUCAACCGUGGAGGGUCAUUGGAAACUGGGGAACUUGAGUGCAGAAGAGAAAAGCGGAAUUCCACGUGUAGCGGUGAAAUGCGUAGAGAUGUGGAGGAACACCAGUGGCGAAGGCGGCUUUUUGGUCUGUAACUGACGCUGAGGCGCGAAAGCGUGGGGAGCAAACAGGAUUAGAUACCCUGGUAGUCCACGCCGUAAACGAUGAGUGCUAAGUGUUAGAGGGUUUCCGCCCUUUAGUGCUGCAGCUAACGCAUUAAGCACUCCGCCUGGGGAGUACGGUCGCAAGACUGAAACUCAAAGGAAUUGACGGGGGGCCCGC
rnacentral:rRNA from 2 species